GCCCAUGUUACAGUGAAACACUAGUUUUCAUACGAUCACUGAAGUUAAACCAUGUCAAGCCUGGUCAGUACAUAGAUAGGUGACUGCUUGGAAAUACUAGUUGCUGUAAG